CACAGUUUUGCGGAAGGCGAGGCGAGGGUGGGCUUGGACUGGACACCCCUUGCCCCCCUUGAUACCCCUUGGGCGAUGGGUGCUGGUGAAAAGAAUGGAACCCGGACUGGGAAGUAAGAAGUCCCAGUUCUUUGAAAUUAUGGUUGACCAGCCAUGAGGGGAAAGAUAUGCGGAAAUGCUUCUGGUAAAGUUGAAAAAGACCUUAAAGAUUUUCAAGUUUUUCUUUCUUAACUUGGCUCCAAGAAGUCCACACGUCCAUCCAAAAUCAUUUUGGGAGUCUCAGAGCACACGGCCUCAGUCUCCAGGCUCCUUGCCGCGGGUCUUGGCAGCCUCGAUGCCUUUGACUCUUCGGGCAUGGCGAUUACCCUUGUAGUGUGCUUCAGCCUGGCUCUUCAAGGAUGGAGGAAGAGCAUGGAGUCUGAGAUCACCGUUCAUCUGCUACAUCCUACAGA